CCUACGGGUGGCAGCAGUGGGGGAUAUUGCACAAUGGGGGGAACCCUGAUGCAGCGACGCCGCGUGGGUGAAGGAGCGUUUCGGCGCGUAAAGCCCUAUCGGCAGGGAAGAAGGAGGACGGUACCUGACGAAGAAGCCCCGGCUAACUACGUGCCAGCAGCCGCGGUAAUACGGAGGGGGCAAGCGUUAUCCGGAUUUACUGGGUGUAACGGGGGCGCAGACGGCAGCGCAAGCCAGGAGUGAAAGCCCGGGGCCCAACCCCGGGACUGCUCUUGGAACUGCGCGGCUGGAGUGCAGGAGGGGCAGGCGGCUUUCCUCGUGUCGCGGUGAAAUGCUUAGAUCUUAGGUGGAACCCCAGUGGCGAAGGCGGCUUACUGGACUGUACCUGACGUUGCGGCUCGAACGCGUGGGGAGCAAACAGGAUUCGCUACCCUUGUAGUC
rnacentral:rRNA from 1 species